rnacentral:rRNA from 1 species
AUUGAACGCUGGCGGCAGGCCUAACCCAUGCAAGUCGAGCGGAUGAAGGGAGCUUGCUCCUGGAUUCAGCGGCGGACGGGUGAGUAAUGCCUAGGAAUCUGCCUGGUAGUGGGGGAUAACGUCCGGAAACGGGCGCUAAUACCGCAUACGUCCUGAGGGAGAAAGUGGGGGAUCUUCGGACCUCACGCUAUCAGAUGAGCCUAGGUCGGAUUAGCUAGUUGGUGGGGUAAAGGCCUACCAAGGCGACGAUCCGUAACUGGUCUGAGAGGAUGAUCAGUCACACUGGAACCGAGACACGGUCCAGACUCCUACGGGAGGCAGCAGUGGGGAAUAUUGGACAAUGGGCGAAAGCCUGAUCCAGCCAUGCCGCGUGUGUGAAGAAGGUCUUCGGAUUGUAAAGCACUUUAAGUUGGGAGGAAGGGCAGUAAGUUAAUACCUUGCUGUUUUGACGUUACCAACAGAAUAAGCACCGGCUAACUUCGUG